AGUGAACGCUGGCGGUAGGCCUAACACACGCAAGUCGAACGGCAGCACAGGAGAGCUUGCUCUCUGGGUGGCGAGUGGCGGACGGGUGAGGAAUACAUCGGAAUCUACUCUGUCGUGGGGGAUAACGUAGGGAAACUUACGCUAAUACCGCAUACGACCUACGGGUGAAAGCAGGGGAUCUUCGGACCUUGCGCGAUUGAAUGAGCCGAUGUCGGAUUAGCUAGUUGGCGGGGUAAAGGCCCACCAAGGCGACGAUCCGUAGCUGGUCUGAGAGGAUGAUCAGCCACACUGGAACUGAGACACGGUCCAGACUCCUACGGGAGGCAGCAGGGGGGAAUAUUGGACAAUGGGCGCAAGCCUGAUCCAGCCAUACCGCGUGGGUGAAGAAGGCCUUCGGGUUGUAAAGCCCUUUUGUUGGGAAAGAAAUCCAGCUGGCUAAUACCCGGUUGGGAUGACGGCACCCAAAGAAUAAGCACCGGCUAACUUCGUGCCAGCCGCCGCCGUAA
rnacentral:rRNA from 1 species